AUUAUAACCACAGGAAGCUCUGCCAAGGCUGGAACAAUACAGAGAAGAUUAAAAUGGCCCCUGCGCAUGGAUGACACACAAAUUCGUGAAGCAUUCCAUAUUUUU